UACGAAGGGUGCAAACGUUGCUCGGAAUUAUUGGGCGUAAAGCGCACGUAGGCGGCUUAGCAAGUCGGAAGUGAAAUCCCUCGGCUCAACCAAGGAAGUGCUUUCGAAACUGCUGAGCUUGAGUACUUAAGAGGAUCGCGGAAUUCCCGGUGUAGAGGUGAAAUUCGUAGAUAUUCGCAAGAACACCAGUGGCGAAGGCGGCUCACUGGCUCGGUACUGACGCUGAGGUGCGAAAGCGAUGGGGAGCAACAGGG
rnacentral:rRNA from 1 species